AAACCUCAACCUCCUUGGUUUCUUCUGGAGACCAAAGCAGGCUUGGACUUUGGAGGCCUUUUGCUGGCACCCCCCUUUUGGAGGCCAGCUCCUCUUAAACAAAUUAGCAGGGUCCUCUUUGCCGAUCCUCGACGUGUGAUAAGAUGUUUCCAUGUCUUGGUUUCUGGCUCUGUCACUUUUGGGACCCGCUUCUAACCGUCUGGACCUUGCGUCCAAGACAAUGUUCGAGCACGUCUCCCUCCUCGGGAAGCUCCCCUCGACCCCAUGAAC
rnacentral:misc_RNA from 1 species